rfam:Schistosoma mansoni strain Puerto Rico chromosome 2, complete genome
AACUUUCUAUGUCCGUGCAGAGAUUUCGUCAGACACCAACCCAAUAGGGCUGAUCAGACAUUCAAGAUAAGUGAAGUU